rnacentral:sRNA from 1 species
GUCAGGUGUGGUGGUCCACACCUGUAAUCCCAGGAGCUUGGGAGGCUGAGGCAAGAGGAUCAUGAGUUCAAAGCCAGCCUCAGCAACUUAGUGAUGCCCUGUCUCAA